rnacentral:rRNA from 1 species
GAUGAACGCUGGCGGCGUGCCUAAUACAUGCAAGUCGAGCGAACAGACGAGGAGCUUGCUCCUUUGACGUUAGCGGCGGACGGGUGAGUAACACGUAGGUAACCUACCUAUAAGACUGGGAUAACUUCGGGAAACCGGAGCUAAUACCGGAUAAUAUUUCGAACCGCAUGGUUCGAUAGUGAAAGAUGGCUUUGCUAUCCCUUAUAGAUGGACCUGCGCCGUAUUAGCUAGUUGGUAAGGUAACGGCUUACCAAGGCAACGAUACGUAGCCGACCUGAGAGGGUGAUCGGCCACACUGGAACUGAGACACGGUCCAGACUCCUACGGGAGGCAGCAGUAGGGAAUCUUCCGCAAUGGGCGAAAGCCUGACGGAGCAACGCCGCGUGAGUGAUGAAGGUCUUCGGAUCGUAAAACUCUGUUAUUAGGGAAGAACAAACGUGUAAGUAACUGUGCACGUCUUGACGGUACCUAAUCAGAAAGCCACGGCUAACUACGUG